AUUGAACGCUGGCGGCAGGCCUAACACAUGCAAGUCGAGCGAGCGGCGGACGGGUGAGUACUGUAUGGGGAUCUGCGCGAUCGAGGGGGAUCAAUACUGGAAACGGUGGCUAAUACCGCAUACUAUCGGGUGAGCCCAGAUGGGAUUAGCUAGUCGCUGGGGUAAAGGCUCACCUAGGCGACGGUCCCUAGCUGGUCUGAGAGGAUGGUCAGCCACACUGGGACUGAGACACGGCCCAGACUCCUACGUGAGGAACCAGUGGGGAAUAUUGCACAAUGGGCGGAAGCCUGAUGCAGCCAUGCCGCGUGUCUGAAGAAGGCCGUAGGUUUGUAAAGUUCUUUCCGCGGGGAGGCGUUACCCGCAGAAGAAGCACCGGCUAACUCCGUGCCAGCAGCCGCGGUAAUAC
rnacentral:rRNA from 1 species